GUAUCUCAUGGACAGACCGGUGAUGGAGAAGCUAGUUCCCUAAGGGGAACCCUUGUGUCAAUCCUAUCUGAAAAGGCUAAACGCGGUUGCACUGUAUGGGAUUUUAAAAUGUUUGUUUGAAGAGUUCAUCCUUCAAGGGCAUACUACAAGUGAUGGCGCUAGUAGCAAACUAUGUACGUUCAUAGAGAGGGCCGUCCUCAAAAAGGCAAAAGACUCUCAUCCAGGAAUUAGUUACUCGGUGGUCGUACCUAACCUAAAAAAAGAGGAGAAAGGUUAGGCCAAGGCCAUGAGGGCUGGGGCCAACACUGUCCUGGAUAGGCUAGUUUUUUCUCCCUUUGCCAUGGAGAUUGAAGCACCCUUAGUGUUGCACCUGCCAAAAAAGUUCUCUCCCUUUACCAGAGGCCCUUCAUGCGGCACAUGCCAAAAUAAUUCUCAUUACUGAAGUUCAUGACCUACAAUGGGAGGUCAGACCCUUAUAUGCACACUAGCCACUUUUUCCAAAUGAUGUCCUUUUAGAGUGAGAACAAGGCAUUGAUGUGCAAGGUCUUCCCUUCUAACUUGGGAGAGGCCAGACUCCGAUGGUUGAUAAAUUAUCGGUAAGGUCCAUGUCAAGCUGGAAGCAGCUUUUGGAACCCUUCAUAGCAAGGUUUGUCACCAAAAAGGAGCCCAAGGAGGUGGAUGCCUUGCUCGCUUUAAACAAAAGCCAUUAGGAGUCACUCCGGGAUGACACUCGAAGGUAUUGGGAUGCCUAUAAUGAGAUCAAAGUAUGCAAUGAAGAGGUCGUUGCAUCGUUCAAGCAUGGCCUUACCCUAGGGGACUUACUCCAAGAUUCGCUUACAAAGUGAUAGGCUAUGUCCAUUACCAAGCUAAUGGAGAGGGUGGACCGGCAUGCAAGGUUAGAGUAGGAUAAUAGUCACACCCAAAUCGAUAGGUGGCAACCCUCCCAAGGGAAUCCUAGGCGCGGAGAGGCAAGGGAGUCCGUUAGGGAAAAGCCAAACCAAACGAAUCAAUCAACAUGAUGUUUGAAGAGCCAACAUACAAGAUCUUACCAAAGAUCCAAAACCAACCGUACUUCUCUUUUCCACCUAAGAUGAGAGAAAACUCAGAAAUGAGAAAGCCUAAGUUUAGAUACUUGUACACCAGGAGUAUGGGCAUAUGAUUGAAAGUUGCUAGGCUCUUAAGCAACAAUUGGAGGAUUUGGCCACGGCUGGGCAUCUCAAGGAGUACAUAUACACAAGAGAAGACCAAAGCCAAAAAGCUUACAGAAUGGAAGGGACAUGAAGGGAAUGCCUCGGAUGCCUCACUUGGAGUCAUUAACAUGAUCUAUGUAAUUAAGGGUCUGAGUUAAGAAAGUGACCUCUAGAGGAAACUUCAAGAGGUAGGUUGGACGAGGCUUUUGGAGACACAAAUGGCAUUAAAGAAGUACCUCAUAGCCACACCAAAGUCCAAAUCGAAGUUAGAUGAAGUCCAUAUGGUGGAGGUGCCAGACUAGUCAUUAUAAGAGGAGAUUAGUGGGGAGUGUUAAGGUUUCAGCAUAGGUGAAACAUUGUAAGAAGGUAUUACAGUCGGGAGGAGCAGUUAGAAUAAAAUCUUUGUAAUUGGAACAAUAUUUAGUCUUGAAAUAAAAGUCAUUUUUCUUUUCAAUUGUGUGGAAACUUGCUUAAGAGGUGGACUGUCUUUUAUGUUUCAACAAUUGUCUUAAUGAGGGUCAAAUUAUCGUGAUUGCUCGCUUGGUCCAAUAAGGCUAAACUAGAUUGCGGGUGGAGAAGGAGUUAGAUAGGGUCACCCAAACCCUUAUUGAGAGAAAGAAGUGGAUAGGCAUUUAGGGAAGAACUAUGGCCAAGCUGGAUUGGAUCGUUGGAUUAAUUUCUUUGGCCAAUUGGGUGUGCUUGAAAGUAGUACAUGAGCUUUUGGGUGGUAAUGAGUAAGGGAAGCACAAGCUUCUCCACUGGUAGAUACCUUAUUUAGCAAUCUUUAAAUGUUUUGUUAACGAAGUAGAUCAAUCAAUGCUCUCCAUUUACCUCCCUCAGCAACACUGAGCUAGCAGCGUGUUCGGAGACGGUGGGGUAGACGUAGAGGAGCUCUUCCUCAUCUGGAGUGGAAAGAAGUGGCAGCUUGAUUAGGUAUUCCUUAAAUUAUUAGAGCGCGAGUUCGCACUCUUCAUUCCAAAAAAAAUUUGUGUUUUUGCGGAGGAGAUGAAAAAAUGAGCGGCAUUUGUCAGAAGACUUAAUAAUGAAACGGUUAAGUGCUUUCGUCAUUCCUGUUAGCUUCUGAACCUUCUUUGCAUUUUUGGACUCUCGAGAUCAUUGGUAGCCAUAAUUUCUUCUGGGUUGGCUUCAAUUCCUCGUCGAGUGACUAAGUGCCCCAAGAACUUACAUGAGAUAAUCCCAAAGACACACUUCGCUGUAGUCUCAGCUUGUAGGCUCCGUUUGGCACCAGCUUUUUUUAGCUUUUUUUUUGGCUUUUUGGCUUAAAAUAAGCAAAAAAACCAAUCAGAGUU
rnacentral:lncRNA from 1 species